rnacentral:rRNA from 1 species
GUGCCCCGCGGUAAUACGAAGGGGGCUAGCGUUGCUCGGAAUUACUGGGCGUAAAGGGCGCGUAGGCGGAUGUUUAAGUCAGUGGUGAAAGCCCAGGGCUCAACCUUGGAACUGCCAUUGAUACUGGACAUCUUGAGUGCGGGAGAGGUGAGUGGAACACCGAGUGUAGAGGUGAAAUUCGUAGAUAUUCGGUAGAACACCAGUGGCGAAGGCGACUCACUGGCCCGUAACUGACGCUGAUGCGCGAAAGCGUGGGGAGCAAACAGG